rnacentral:rRNA from 1 species
GACGAACGCUGGCGGCGUGCUUAACACAUGCAAGUCGAACGGAAAGGCCCUGCUUUUGUGGGGUGCUCGAGUGGCGAACGGGUGAGUAACACGUGAGUAACCUGCCCCUGACUUUGGGAUAACUUCAGGAAACUGGGGCUAAUAUCGGAUAGGAGCUCCUGCUGCAUGGUGGGGGUUGGAAAGUUUCGGCGGUUGGGGAUGGACUCGCGGCUUAUCAGCUUGUUGGUGGGGUAGUGGCUUACCAAGGCUUUGACGGGUAGCCGGCCUGAGAGGGUGACCGGCCACAUUGGGACUGAGAUACGGCCCAGACUCCUACGGGAGGCAGCAGUGGGGAAUAUUGCACAAUGGGCGGAAGCCUGAUGCAGCAACGCCGCGUGCGGGAUGACGGCCUUCGGGUUGUAAACCGCUUUCGCCUGUGACGAAGCGUGAGUGACGGUAAUGGGUAAAGAAGCACCGGCUAACUACGUG